UCCAGGAGCGUCACGUUGUCUUGUUACUGU
rnacentral:piRNA from 1 species